UACAGAGGUCCCGAGCGUUGUUCGGAUUCAUUGGGCGUAAAGGGUGCGUAGGCGGCGAGGCAAGUCUGAUGUGAAAUCCCGGGGCUCAACCCCGGAACUGCAUUGGAUACUGCCCUGCUAGAGUACUGGAGAGGGAACUGGAAUUUACGGUGUAGCAGUGAAAUGCGUAGAGAUCGUAAGGAAGGCCAGUGGCGAAGGCGAGUUCCUGGACAGUGACUGACGCUGAGGCACGAAGGCCAGGGGAGCAAACGGG
rnacentral:rRNA from 1 species